AAAAUGUUUAAUGGAGUGGUUAGAUCAAAAGUUCUUUUAGGUGCAGAGAUUUAAAGCCAUAGGCGUGUCAGUGAUCUACUUCCCUAUUUGCAGCCAAAACAGGAACUUGGUGUUUUGAGAGCUUCCUGAUUUUCUCACCGCAGCUCCUUUCUCACCAAAUCUGGAAAAGAUAAAAAAAUAGCCACAAACGGAGGAUUUGAAAACACAAGCGGCUGAAGUCAAACCUCUAAUUAAGCUCCGACUACUGAGGCUAACCUGGUGGACGAGGUCCGACGGGGGGAUUUCAUGCCGAGAUCCACACCCACCGGGACCGGAGGAGAUCCAAGCAGCAACUCUGAACAGGAGUGGACCAACGUUUGACAGGCCACCACAACCUGAUCAACUCUAUGAGGAGAUGUUGCUGCGCUGCGUGAAGCAAAUGGUGGUCACACCGGAUGCUGACUGGUUUUCUGGUCCUCUUGGAUCCCCCCUGACACUCAACGGUGCAGUGAUCGUGCUGUCAGGUGUGACCUUGAGGAGAACCGCCGCUAUGAGCUUUGGCGCCACAUUCCAGGUAGGGAAGGAAUCACCUGCGAGUGUUUGCAGAGCAGGAGGAGGCGUCCAGCCUCAGUGGGGCGAUCAUGAGGAGUUGUUGCUGAGUAAAUGUGUGCGUGACGCGCCUUCGUGUUUCUAAUCAUUAACGGGACUUUUCACACGUCCACGCUGAGCUUUGUUUCGUCCUUGUGCGGGUCCAGAGGUCGAAGAUUUCAGAGCCAAGGUUACUGUGGCGGAGCCUCCUGAUCAAUCCUAACCGGCUGUUUGACUUUCAGGAAGAGAAAGUAAAAGUAUCAAAGGUGGAUCCACCUGAACAGGAAGGUCCGGAACCGUCGGCGGUGUACGAGAACAGACCCCCGGAAGGGCUGGAGCUCAGAGCGGAGAGUGUGUGAAGGUCGGUGGAGCCGCUGUUUCCCCAACAGGGCGGCGAGCUGUUGCCAGUAAACACGGCUCACCAGAAACACUCCUCCCGCUGUUUCACACAGACCGUCCCGCUGAGCCCAGCGCACGCAGACGUCUCCUCGCCGCCUCCUCGCUGCCUCCUCGCCGCCUCCUCGCCGUCUCCUCGCCGCCUCCUCGCCGCCUCCUCGCCGUCUCCUCGCCGUCUCCUCGCCGUCUCCCCACCUUCAUUUUCCCGCAGAUGAUGGAGGCAAGCGAAGAGCCGGACAGGUCGUCCCCCGGGAGCAACGCCGUCGUGAAGGAGAUGCUCGGCGGGCUUCGGGCAUCGAUGCGGCGCAGCUUUCGCCGGGUGGCGGAGAAGAACCCGCUGUCGCCCACGAGCAAAGGGUCGAAGGUCACGCCUAAAGGAGACGAGAGCGGGCCGCCGCCGCCGCCUUCACCCAGUGAGAAUCGCCAUGUGUGUGUGUGGGGGGGCAUUCGUUGAUAUCGAGGGUUCGACCCACAUGUGUGAUAGAGGUCAACCUUCAUGUAACGGUUCCAAAGGUCGGCGGUCCAGCGUGCGCCCGUUAUUGAUUCGAUCAAACAUUCUUGUGGGCUGAGUGGAUGAUAAAAGUUCUCUCCCACACAAAACGUCUUAAGCUUCUUCUCAUUCUCAGUCUGGGAGACGGCGGUUCUGUUUGGCCCCUCGGCCGUUUGUGCAGAGGCGGCAAAAUCUGGAACUUUAAAACCUCUGCUCCUGAGCCGCGUUAGCUUUUAAAGUCCUGUCUUUCCUGUUCUGACUCUCCAACCGCUUCAGGUUCCAGGUUUAAAACACACCAAAGUUUCUCUUUUAAU
ensembl:lncRNA